GGCGGCGUGCUUACACAUGCAAGUCGAACGAACGAAAUCGGUGCUUGCACUGAUCUAGUUAGUGGCAGACGGGUGAGUAAUACAUGGGAAUCUACCUUGCAGUACAGAAUAACUAUUGGAAACGAUAGCUAAUACUAUAUACAGCCGAGAGGUGAAAGAUUUAUCGCUGUAAGAUGAGCCCAUGCAAGAUUAGCUUGUUGGUGAGGUAAUGGCUUACCAAGGCUACGAUCUUUAGCUGGUCUAAGAGGAUGAUCAGCCACACUGGAAUUGAGAUACGGUCCAGACUCCUACGGGAGGCAGCAGUGGGGAAUAUUGGACAAUGGGCGAAAGCCUGAUCCAGCGACGCCGCGUGAGUGAUGAAGGCCUUAGGGUUGUAAAGCUCUUUUAGUGGGGAAGAUAAUGACGGUACCCACAGAAAAAGUCCCGGCUAACUUCGUGCCAGCAGCCGCGGUAAUACGAAGGGGGCUAGCGUUACUCGGAAUUAUUGGGCGUAAAGCGUGCGUAGGCGGCUAAGUAAGUUGGAAGUGAAAGCCUUUGGCUCAACCAAAGAAUUGCUUUCAAAACUGCUUGGC
rnacentral:rRNA from 1 species